UUUCCGUAGGUGAACCUGCGGAAGGAUCAUUGUCGAAACCUGCCAAGCAGAACGACCCGCGAACUUGUAUAAACAACCGGGGGCGGGGGGCGUUCUCGCCCCGUGCCCCCGAACGGCGGGAUGACACUCGUGCCUUCUUGACGAACAACGAACCCCGGCGCGGUCGGCGCCAAGGAACUUCAACUAAAGAGUGCCUCCGGUCGCCUCGGAAACGGCGUGCGUGCAGGGGGGGAAUCUUGUGCAAAACCAUAACGACUCUCGGCAACGGAUAUCUCGGCUCUC
rnacentral:misc_RNA from 1 species